rnacentral:rRNA from 1 species
AACGAACGCUGGCGGCAGGCCUAACACAUGCAAGUCGAACGGGUGUAGCAAUACAUCAGUGGCAGACGGGUGAGUAACGCGUGGGAAUCUCCCCAGAGGUACGGAACAACUCAGGGAAACUUGAGCUAAUACCGUAUGUGCCCGAGAGGGCAAAGAUUCAUCGCCUUUGGAUGAGCCCGCGUUGGAUUAGCUAGUUGGUGGGGUAACGGCCUACCAAGCUACGAUCCAUAGCUGAUCUGAGAGGAUGAUCAGCCACACUGGGACUGAGACACGGCCCAGACUCCUACGGGAGGCAGCAGUGGGGAAUCUUGGACAAUGGGCGCAAGCC